UACGUAGGGGGCGAGCGUUGUCCGAAGUUACUGGGCGUAAAGCGCGCGUAGGCGGGGGAUUAAGUGAGAGGUGAAAGGCUGGGGCUCAACCCCAUGCAGUGCCUCUCAUACUGGUUCUCUUGAGGGCGGUAGGGAGAAGUGGAAUGGCUGGUGUAGCGGUGAAAUGCGUAGAUAUCGUGAGGAACACCAGAGGCGAAGGCGGCUACCUGGACAAUUGCUGACGCUCAGGCACGAAAGCGUGGGGAGCAAAAGGG
rnacentral:rRNA from 1 species